UCCUCUUGUUUGGGAAGGUACAAGCUUUCUUGAUGCGUAUACAUCUCAAUCAAGUACGUAGAUGCAGUUUCAGUUUCAGUACGUAGAUGCAGUUUCAGUACUUGUGCUUCUUUAGAUGAAUGAGAGGCUGCAAUAUCAUACAGGGGUAAGAAAAACUCACUCUUGAUGAUUUGAACAGAGUAGUGGCAUCAUUAAUCUGAAAUACACAUGCAUCUUGUAGUCACCAAGGAUUCUGACAAUGUUUUGACUUGGUAUAUAAUCUGAAACGUACAUGCAUUUGGUAGUCAGAAAGGUUGCCCACGAUCUGGUAAUAGAAAAGUGGUUACAACCAGUGGCUUGUGCACAAAAUUAAAGCUUUUAUUAUCACAUCCAACCACUGGCUUGUAUAUUUGCAGAAGCAUCCCAUGUUUGAAUCGAUCAUUUAUUUAGAUCUACAACGCGUCCAAUAUAAACUUCAGUUGUGUUUGUGUAUUUAACUAAGUAGUUGUUGACCACUGAUUAAUUUCAAUGUCCAGCGGUACUAGAGCAUCAGCUUGUAUAUAAAUUAUUUAUUCCUUAGUAUCUAAACUAGAUAAUCUGUCUGUACUGUUUUUGUUCCUCAUUCAUAUCAGGACACCCUAGUAAGAAAGGUUUGCUUUCUUAGCUGUCUACUCUUUAUAACUGACCGUCGUUCUUUUGUCAUGUGAUUUUCAGGUAAUGGAACUGCAAAUAGGAGUGGCAGCGGCGACCAGGAUGCAAAUGGAAGUGGUUCCCAAAGACCUUGGAAAGGUAUUACUAUGCUUUGCUUGGUCACACGAUGCUAUUGGAACCAUGAUAUUUAUUUGCUAGGUUCAAUUAAACUGAUGUUUGUAACCUUGCAAUGCAGGACUUAAAGACAAUAACUUAUAUGAUCCUUGGAACCAUGCAUGGCCGUAUUAUGGGGGUUUUGAUUGCACGUACUGCAGCCUAAAGCACAAAGGUGGAGGUGCAACCCGUGUCGCGGAGCACCUUGGUGGUAUUGUAGGUAAUGUGAGGAGCUGUCCCAAUGUGCCAAGAAAUGUGAGAGAUGCAAUGAGAGAGUGCCGGGAUGAAUCAAGGAGGAAGAAAAGAGACAAACAAAAUAGCAGGCUGAGAAUUGAAAGAAAUAUUAUGGAAGGGUUGUAUAAAAAAGGAGGGGUGGUUAACGUACCAGAUGAUGAUGAAGAAGAAAUUCAGAUGAAUAUUAGAGAAGCAUUGCGUGACCCGAAUGUCUCUCGCAGAAUUGAAAGGAGAAUUGGCAAGGGGGGUGUGGGUGAUGUGCAUGUUUCUGUUGGUAAAAGGAGUAUCAGCGCCUAUUUUGACAGGCAAUUAUCUAGCAACAAAGUAUAUAUGCAGCCCAAGAUCAGUAGUGCUUUGGAUCCUAAUUCAAGAGAUGCACUUGGUCUAGCUUGGUCCAAGUUUUUUCAUGCCAAUGAUAUUGCUGGACGUAAAGCUGAUUGCCCAUACUUUCGAGCUGCUGUGAAGAUCACUCAACAAUUAGGGCCUAUUCCUAUACCAACCGCGAAGGAGAUUGAUGGGCCAUAUUUGGAGGCCAACUAUGAUGAAGCUAAUUCGUUUCUUCAAAAAUUCAAACAAGACUGGAAGAACUUUGGUGUGACUCUUAUGUGCGAUUCUUGGACUGGUCCUACAGGAAUGAGCAUCAUAAACUUCAUGGUGUAUUGUAAUGCACGAAUGUUCUUCCUCAAUACCAUUGAUGCAUCCGGACAAACUCAGAAUUCAGGUUACUUCUUCCUUCUCUUCUUAGCACUUUACUUGCUUCUUGAAUAAUUGGAUCUGUCCUACAAUUGUCUUAUGUUCUUAAAAUAUUUGCUUUGUUCUAAUUAGGUAUGUACAUAUGUUAUUACAAUAUUGUUCUUGAAUACUUGGAUCUGUCCUAUAGUUGUUUUAUGUUCUCAAUGCCUUGUUCUCAUUAGGUAUAUAUGCAUUUUACGUAUGUUAUUACAAUAUUGUUCUUGAAUACUUGGAUCUGUCCUAUAGUUGUUUUAUGUUCUUAAUGGCUUGUUCUCAUUAGGUAUAUAUGCAUUUUACGUAAUUUUGCAGACUUUAUCUAUAGAGAGAUUGAAAAGGUUGUCGAAGAGAUAGGGCAUGAGCAUAUAGUUCAAAUAGUAACCGAUAAUGGAUCCAAUUAUAAGAAAGCUUGCAAAACCCUUAUAGAAGAACCAAAAUACUCUCAUAUUGUUUGGCAACCGUGUGCGGCCCAUACCGUCAAUCUUAUGCUAAAAGAUAUAGCAAAAUUUCCUGAGGUUGAUGUGAUAGUCAAGAGUGCCAAGACAAUCUGUAGGUUCAUGCAUAAGCACAAUAACCUCCAUGAUAACAUGAAGAAGAACAUAGGUGGUGAACUAAUUAGACCAAAUGCCACCCGUUUUGGGACUGUCUUCAUGUUCCUUGAGAGUUACCAUUCAAAGAAAGAUAAAUUUAGGGAGUGGAUGGUUUCAAAGGAUUGGAAGGAGUGUCAGUGGAGGUAUGAGCCUGGGUAUGUGUUUGCUGAAGAGUGUUUGUCUAGUAAUGUUUGGUGGAACGCACUAGAGUGGGUAUUGAGUUCAUUGAGGCCACUUUAUACGGCCAUGAGGUAUGCUGAUACACAAAAACAAUGCACACUUUCUGGCUUAUUAGGAAGAAGACCAAGAACGUCAACAGCCUCUACUCGUAAAUUUGAUAAGUCUCUUCUUUUUGGUGUUUCUGAUUCAGGUUUGUUACUUAGAAAAAUCUAGCUUGAUGUAUAUGUUCAAAGCGGCUGAUCUUUAAAUAGCUUGAUGUAUAUUGCUUUCUUUAAGUAGGUUGAUCUUUAAUUGUUCUCGUGCUCUAAUGUUUAUGCUCACUGUGUAUGCUUAGUACUGCUGUUCUAAUUGCUCACCUAGUAGUGUUGCUGUAAUUGAUACUUAUCUUCUUGUAUUGUUGCUAUAAUUGCUACUUAUCACAUACCAGUGAUGUUCUAGUUGCUACCAAUCACUUAGUAGUGUUGUUCUAAUUGCUACUUAACACAGUAUUUUAGUUGCUACUUGGAACUGCUAGUUACUUAGAUGUAUGCACUCUGUAUCAUGACCCUUCCUCUGUUUUCUCCAAACCAGAAAUGGCACGUGAGCAAAGGAUAUCAAGAAGCUUUUGGAUGUUGGGAAGCUUGGAGCUGAUGCUUCAAAUAAGCUGAUGGUUGUCUUUUGGAGAUGUUUCUAUGUUUAAUGCUUUAAAGUCUUUUGGCUGUACUGGACUAUUUAAACUUUGAACUAUGCUGUGAUGGUUGAACUGAUGCUGGACGGUUAAGGGUUUAUGUCAGAGGCAACUUUAUAACUAAUGUGUGCCUGUUAUGUUGGACUGUUAAGGGUUAUGUUGGAGGCAAUUUUAUAACUAAUGUGUGUCUGCUAUGUUGGAUUGUUAACUGUUAUGUUGGAGGCAACAUUAUAGCUAACGUGUGCCUGUUAUGUUGGGCAGAUUCAAUUUUCUUAAUCCCUAGAGCUUAUUUGCUAAAGUUUAUAAGAUCUCUCCUGAUGGUUGUUGUGCUGAUAUGUUUUGCUCUAUUUUAUUUAAAGUUUUGUUCAAAUUUCGGCCGAAUUUCGGCCAAAUUUCGGUUAAAUUUUGGC
rnacentral:lncRNA from 1 species